CUGGGUUAAUACCUCGGGGGGAUGACGGUACCGGAAGAAUAAGCACCGGCUAACUACGUGCCAGCAGCCGCGGUAAUACGUAGGGUGCAAGCGUUAAUCGGAAUUACUGGGCGUAAAGCGUGCGCAGGCGGUUUUGUAAGACGGAUGUGAAAUCCCCGGGCUUAACCUGGGAACUGCAUUCGUGACUGCAAGGCUAGAGUAUGGCAGAGGGGGGUAGAAUUCCACGUGUAGCAGUGAAAUGCGUAGAGAUGUGGAGGAAUACCGAUGGCGAAGGCAGCCCCCUGGGCCAAUACUGACGCUCAUGCACGAAAGCGUGGGGAGCAAACAGGAUUAGAUACCCUGGUAGUCCACGCCCUAAACGAUGUCAACUAGUUGUUGGGGAUUCAUUUCCUUAGUAACGUAGCUAACGCGUGAAGUUGACCGCCUGGGGAGUACGGUCGCAAGAUUAAAACUCAAAUG
rnacentral:rRNA from 1 species